UACGGGGGAGCAAGCGUUGUUCGGAUUUACUGGGCGUAAAGGGCGCGUAGGCGGCCACCGGCAAGUCAGUUGUGAAAUCUCUGGGCUUAACCCAGAAAGGUCAACUGAUACUGCGGGGCUAGAGUGCAGAAGGGGCAACUGGAAUUCUCGGUGUAGCGGUGGAAAUGCGUAGAUAUCGAGAGGAACACCUGCGGCGAAGG
rnacentral:rRNA from 1 species